rnacentral:misc_RNA from 1 species
GAAAUGCGAUAACUAGUGUGAAUUGCAGAAUUCCGUGAAUCAUUGAGUCUUUGAACGCACAUUGCGCCCCCUGGUAUUCCGGGGGGCAUGCCUGUCCGAGCGUCAUUGCUGCCCAUCAAGCACGGCUUGUGUGUUGGGUCGUCGUCCCCUCUCCGGGGGGGACGGGCCCCAAAGGCAGCGGCGGCACCGCGUCCGAUCCUCGAGCGUAUGGGGCUUUGUCACCCGCUCUGUAGGCCCGGCCGGCGCUUGCCGAACGCAAAUCAAUCUUUUUCCAGGUUGACCUCGGAUCAGGUAGGGAUACCCGCUGAACUUAAGC